rnacentral:lncRNA from 1 species
AAAAAGUGGAUAUCUUAACAUAUAUAUUAGCAAGAUAUUGGAGCCUUUUUUUUUUUUUUUUUUAUUCAUCGAACGUCUGAUACUCAUUUUAGAACUCUUAUUAAGGCUUAAAACCAAAAUAUAUCUUUAACUUUUUUUCAUUUUCAAGCUUAAAUCCAAAAUAACUGAUUAAGGUUAGAAAUGUCCUUUUCAUUCCACCAUAACGUAUAUAUAGUGGUUAAAAAAAAGUGAGGUGGGGGUUAA